rnacentral:rRNA from 1 species
UACAGAGGGGGCAAGCGUUGUUCGGAAUUACUGGGCGUAAAGGGCUCGUAGGCGGCCAACUAAGUCAGACGUGAAAUCCCUCGGCUUAACCGGGGAACUGCGUCUGAUACUGGAUGGCUUGAGGUUGGGAGAGGGAUGCGGAAUUCCAGGUGUAGCGGUGAAAUGCGUAGAUAUCUGGAGGAACACCGGUGGCGAAGGCGGCAUCCUGGAUCAAUUCUGACGCUGAGGAGCGAAAGCCAGGGGAGCAAACGGG